rnacentral:lncRNA from 1 species
AUUAGGGUUGCGUGAAGAAGGCUUUAGCAAGGGGAUAUUAUGAUCAGAUUGCCUCCGGUGGUGGUCGCAUCAGAUGAUUGGCGGUGGUGGCCGGAAUCCGGCGAAUAAGACAAGGUUGCAGAAUUUAGGUUUUAGGUUUUGGGUUCUUCAAACAAUUAAUUGUUUGAAGAACGUAUAGAUUGAAUUUCAAUGUUUGGGAG